rnacentral:rRNA from 1 species
GCCAGACUGACGCUCAUGCACGAAAGCGUGGGAGCAAACAGGAUUAGAUACCCUGGUAGUCCACGCCUAAACGAUGUCUACUAGUUGUCGGGUCUUAAUUGACUUGGUAACGCAGCUAACGCGUGAAGUAGACCGCCUGGGGAGUACGGUCGCAAGAUUAAAACUCAAAGGAAUUGACGGGGACCCGCACAAGCGGUGGAUGAUGUGGAUUAAUUCGAUGCAACGCGAAAAACCUUACCUACCCUUGACAUGUCAGGAACCUCCGAGAGAUUGGAGGGUGCCCGAAAGGGAGCCUGAACACAGGUGCUGCAUGGCUGUCGUCAGCUCGUGUCGUGAGAUGUUGGGUUAAGUCCCGCAACGAGCGCAACCCUUGUCAUUAGUUGCUACGAAAGGGCACUCUAAUGAGACUGCCGGUGACAAACCGGAGGAAGGUGGGGAUGACGUCAAGUCCUCAUGGCCCUUAUGGGUAGGGCUUCACACGUCAUACAAUGGUACAUACAGAGGGCCGCCAACCCGCGAGGGGGAGCUAAUCCCAGAAAGUGUAUCGUAGUCCGGAUUGUAGUCUGCAACUCGACUACAUGAAGUUGGAAUCGCUAGUAAUCGCGGAUCAGCAUGUCGCGGUGAAUACGUUCCCGGGUCUUGUACACACCGCCCGUCACACCAUGGGAGCGGGUUUCACCAGAAGUGGGUAGCUUAACCGCAAGGAGGGCGCCUACCACGGUGGGAUUCGUGACUGGGGUGAAGUCGUAACAAGGUAACCAAGGG